rnacentral:snoRNA from 1 species
CUUCUUGUGAUGAAAACAGUCCAGUUCUGCUGCUGAAGAGAGAGAGAUGAAAGCUUUUAAUGCUGAGGAAG